rnacentral:lncRNA from 1 species
AACACACCCCUAUAAUCUAUUUCACACAAAACGAUACAUAAAAUUACCGUUUUGCCAUUAGUGACCCCUAUUAAUAAGAUUGAAGACAUUGUCCUAUCAAGUCGAUUUGAAUGAUCAGAACUUCAAAUUGAUAAUCAACACCAUUAAAAUUGAUCUACACAAUUAGAAAUGUUUAGAAACCAAAUUUUGUAGUAUUUAAAAAUCAUUAUCAAGUUCAUCUUAAGAGUUGAAAAAUGAACGGUCAUAAAUAAAUAACCUUCUUAAAAUAGAGGUUAGACUUUCUCAAUUCAUAAUCAGAGUUAUCAAACAUUAUCUAAAUAGUAUAAAGAAUUUUCUAUAAAAAAUUCAAACAAUUUGGAUUACUUUACACCGUUAAACAAGUAAACGGCUCAUAUAGGUCGUUAAAAAUUAUCGAUUUUAUGACACUUUGAUCAUCAUGUAAAUAAUUUUUAAAAUUUAUGAAAUUUAGUUUCUAGAUAUUUCAAAUAUUCUAGAUCAACUUCAACGGCUCCGAUCAUCGAUUCGAAAUCUCUAUCAUCAAAAAACAAUUUGAUCUGACAAAUAUAU